rnacentral:ncRNA from 1 species
ACGAGGAGGCAUUGAGUUUGAUCAGAGAGCAGAUUGAGUGAUGACACGUGUAGUCUCAGUAAUAGCGCAGCUGGGUGAGAUAGUGGCNGGAGAAUCUAGUGUCGGCUCUGGGAUAGUACGCUCGCAAGGUGAACUAAAGCGAAAUGACGGAAGACACUACCAGGAGUGGAUGUGCUGCUUAUUUACUCAACGCGGGAAAACUUACCAGGGUCAAGUCAUUCGUUGAUCGAAUACGUGAGAAUGGCAGGAGUGGUGCAUGGCCGUUGGAAAUUGAUGGGGCGACCUUUAGCUUAAAUGCUUAAACCAGUGAGACCUCCUUGACAGGUGUUCUGUAACACAGGAGGGUGGAGGCUAUAACAGGUCCGUGAUGCCCUUAGAUAUCCUGGGCAGCAAGCGCAAUACAAUAUCUCUUCAGUAGACAAAGUGAUUUGAGAUGAGUAGGAUCUACGUUUGUAAAUACGUAGUGAAUAAGGAAUUCCUAGUAACGGUGCCUCAUCAAGGCAUGGUGAAUGUGUCCCUGUUCUUUGUACACACCGCCCGUCACUAUUUCAGAUGGUCAUAGGGAUGAAGAGCUUCGGCUCUGAAUAUCUAUGGCUAGAUAAAGUACAAGUCGUAACAAGGUUUCAGUUGGAGAACCAGCUGAAGGAUCAUUU